rnacentral:tRNA from 1 species
GUAGUCGUUGCCGAGUGGUUAAGGCGACAGACUUGAAAUCUGUUGGGAUAUUCCCGCGCAGGUUCAAAUCCUGCCGACUACG